GGCAGAUUAACUUACAACGAUGAUGAAAAUCAAGAAGUGUAACUUGAACUGAAUCUCAAUUCAAAACUCCCAGAAUAUUUACAAUAAUUUUCUCUCAACAAUAAUGUUCUAGAGCGUAUUAGAACUCGAGAGAGAGAAAAAUCGUGCACAAUGUAUAUUGCAAGAUAUGUUAAUGAUAAUUAGAAAACCCUAAAAGCUCUAAUUUAUACUUGAGUCUAAUUAAGUAAAUAAAAUAACAACUUAAGUAAAUUUCUCGGACAUGUGACGCCAUUAGAUAAUGCCUUAUUAAGGGUUUGACGCCUUAUCAUGAAUGGUGUCAGAUUUCCUUCAAUGUUGACAAGCUCCACCUAAGGCUGACAAUACGGAUGACGACGUGUUAGGAGUCUGAUGAUGUAUCAUGGAUGUCGUCAGAUCCUCUUCCCUUUUUAUAAUUUCUGCCUAAGGCUGACGAUGAUCCUGAUGCCUUAUUACAACUUUGACGCAUUGUCACAAAAUGUCAUCACAAUUUCUCUUCAACUCUCAUUAUCUGAUUAAGUCUGACGGUGGCCUUGAUAGCUUAUCACCAGGCUGACGACUUAUCAUGAAUGUCGUCAGCCACACUAGUCCUUUAUUUGCUUCAGAAUUCAACCUUUUUGCUUCCAUUAUUAUUGGUUCCCUUGCACCUUAUAUUUUACUGUAAAAUUAAAGUAAAACCAAUCAAAUAUGACAAAAGUUGCUUAAGACUUCACAAUUAUUCAUGGCUAAAAGAAUAAAAUACGUUAGCAUUUGCUCACACAUCAAUCAACAUCAAAUAACCCAUCUGCAAUCUAUUCCCAAUUCCUUUCAACAUCCACCUGUUUAACUCAUAGCCAAUUUUAUACCAUAUGAUUAAAAAAAAGUUCCGCCCUUUUGUUUUGAUUGAAAAAAAUUACUUUCUUCCAUUAAAGUGUAGACUUUUAAAUGAGCAGGUUGAAACUUCAUACUUAGACAAAUAGAAUAGCAAAAAAGUUCUGAGUUUAUUAAGAAUUUCUCUGAAUAUUACUUUUAUUGACAUGAUUUUGAAGUUGGGUACGUUAUAAAAAUUGCUAAACUAUUGCAGCAUUUUUUGUUUAAAAAAUUCCUGACAAAUUCAAUGAAGAAGAAAAGAAAAAUAAGAGAGAAACCUGAGACCUCAUAGUGCUCAACCCACAUCAUUGAAUCACUAGGCCACACCCUUGAGUGCAUUUUUUAUGGUUAGUGGGGAAUCAUCUCUUAGUUAUAUAUGUGACCAUUAUUAUGCAUUAACGAAUAUCUAAGAAUGUUACACACAUGAAAGGAAUUUGGAUGCUAAGAUUCUUAAAGUAGCUCAACACCUACAAAAAGAUACUACUCUAAGUCGUUAAGAGUAUACUUGCUACACAUCAAAUGCUCCAUGUUUGAGGCCCCAACAUAUUUUUUGAGAAGCAAUUCAGUUGGUUCAAUUUAGAUAAAAAAAGGUUGUGACUUGUUACAGAUGAGAGGAAAAUAAGCACACCUCUCUUUCUUUAACCCAUCAUUAAUUUCAAAAUCGUAAACUACAUCUUCGCUUUUGCUUACAAAAUAUCGAUGUAAAAGAGUUCGAAAAUACUUCAAUACAUCAAUUUCCGUAUGCGUGUUAUCAUCCAAGAUGCUCAUCAACUGAUCGAAAAAUUCAUGGCACUCGAUCAACACAUGAACCUCGUUCUCGGAGAGCAAAAUACACAAUAUAGAUAAAUUUUUGUAAAAAGACAUGCUGAAAUUAAAUUUAAAUUAUUCAUUUUACCAACAAAUGCAUAUUUACUAAAAAACAUAAAAAAAAAUUGUACAGUGUUGAAAGAAUAAAUAAAUAUUAGAAAAAAAUAUAUGAAUGAGAAGGUAGAGAAACUUACAUAUAGAUGUGCGAGAAAUGAGACUUGACGAAAGGAGAUUAUUGUGUAAUAUGAAGACAUUUUUGCCUAUUUAUUUGAGUCAUCUAUUUUAUUCUAGAAAUGUCAAUUCUCGAAGCUAGAGUCAUUAAUUUAUCAUUUUACUAUUCUAG
rnacentral:lncRNA from 1 species